AAUUGAAGCUUAGAUUUUAUCUGAGCGCCCACUCAAAUCGUCAUGUAAAAACUGGAAAACUUAUAGUGAUUUUCUACGAAAAUCGAUCAGGCAGGUUCCCACAGUAUGUUUUUCUUUAGGCAGAGACAGCGAACAAGCAUAAAGAAAAAUAGACCAGGUAAAUAUUGGGUCUGUAGCUCAGUUGGUUAGAGCGCACCCCUGAUAAGGGUGAGGUCGGUGGUUCGAAUCCACCCAGACCCACCAGCAAUUGGGGCUGUAGGAGGCAAACAAGUCGAUCGGAAUGAGUUUUUUAGGUAAGAGUAUUGCUGAUUUAGCGAGAAAGCUAAUUGAGGAAUAUUUUUUUUCCAGCCCAGGUUCCUUUUAACAAAUC
rnacentral:tRNA from 1 species